UACAGAGGGUGCGAGCGUUGUCCGGAAUCACUGGGCGUAAAGGGCGCGUAGGUGGUGGCUUAAGCGUGCGGUGAAAGCUCGGGGCUCAACUCCGAGUCGGCCGUGCGAACUGGGCUCACUGGAGCAUAGUAGAGGCAGGUGGAAUUCCUGGUGUAGCGGUGAAAUGCGCAGAUAUCAGGAGGAACACCGGGUGGCGAAGGCGGGUCUCUGGGCAGUAACUGACGCUGAGGAGCGAAAGCGUGGGGAGCGAACAGG
rnacentral:rRNA from 1 species